GAUGAACGCUGGCGGUAUGCUUAACACAUGCAAGUCGAACGGUCUCUUCGGAGAUAGUGGCGGACGGGUGAGUAACGCGUGAGAAUCUAGCUUCAGGUCGGGGACAACCACUGGAAACGGUGGCUAAUACCGGAUGUGCCGAGAGGUAAAAGGCUUGCUGCCUGAAGAUGAGCUCGCGUCUGAUUAGCUAGUAGGUGUGGUAAGAGCGCACCUAGGCGACGAUCAGUAGCUGGUCUGAGAGGAUGAUCAGCCACACUGGGACUGAGACACGGCCCAGACUCCUACGGGAGGCAGCAGUGGGGAAUUUUCCGCAAUGGGCGAAAGCCUGACGGAGCAAUACCGCGUGAGGGAGGAAGGCUCUUGGGUUGUAAACCUCUUUUCUCAGGGAAGAAAAAAAUGACGGUACCUGAGGAAUAAGCAUCGGCUAACUCCGUGCCAGCAGCCGCGGUAAUACGGAGGAUGCAAGCGUUAUCCGGAAUGAUUGGGCGUAAAGCGUCCGCAGGUGGCGAUGUAAGUCUGCUGUUAAAGAGUGAGGCUCAACCUCAUAAAAGCAGUGGAAACUACAUGGCUAGAGUGCGUUCGGGGCAGAGGGAAUUCCUGGUGUAGCGGUGAAAUGCGUAGAGAUCAGGAAGAACACCGGUGGCGAAAGCGCUCUGCUAGGCCGCAACUGACACUGAGGGACGAAAGCUAGGGGAGCGAAUGGGAUUAGAUACCCCAGUAGUCCUAGCCGUAAACGAUGGAUACUAGGCGUGGCUUGUAUCGACCCGAGCCGUGCCGUAGCUAACGCGUUAAGUAUCCCGCCUGGGGAGUACGCACGCAAGUGUGAAACUCAAAGGAAUUGACGGGGGCCCGCACAAGCGGUGGAGUAUGUGGUUUAAUUCGAUGCAACGCGAAGAACCUUACCAAGACUUGACAUGUCGCGAAUCCCUGUGAAAGUAGGGAGUGCCUUCGGGAGCGCGAACACAGGUGGUGCAUGGCUGUCGUCAGCUCGUGUCGUGAGAUGUUGGGUUAAGUCCCGCAACGAGCGCAACCCUCGUUUUUAGUUGCCAGCAUUAAGUUGGGCACUCUAGAGAGACUGCCGGUGACAAACCGGAGGAAGGUGGGGAUGACGUCAAGUCAGCAUGCCCCUUACGUCUUGGGCUACACACGUACUACAAUGCUACGGACAAAGGGCAGCUACACAGCAAUGUGAUGCAAAUCUCAGAAACCGUAGCUCAGUUCAGAUCGCAGGCUGCAACUCGCCUGCGUGAAGUCGGAAUCGCUAGUAAUUGCAGGUCAGCAUACUGCAGUGAAUUCGUUCCCGGGCCUUGUACACACCGCCCGUCACACCAUGGAAGCUGGCAACGCCCGAAGUCAUUACUCCAACCAUUCGUGGAGGAGGAUGCCUAAGGCAGUGCUGGUGACUGGGGUGAAGUCGUAACAAGGUAGCCGUACCGGAAGGUGUGGCUGGAUCACCUCCUU
rnacentral:rRNA from 1 species